GAUGAACGCUAGCGGCAGGCCUAAUACAUGCAAGUCGAACGGGAUCCAGAUCAAAGCUUGCUUUGGUUUGGUGAGAGUGGCGCACGGGUGCGUAACGCGUGAGCAACCUACCCUUGUCAGGGGGAUAGCCCGGCGAAAGUCGGAUUAAUACCGCAUGACAUCAUUGAGAGGCAUCUUUCGAUGAUCAAAGAUUUAUCGGACAAGGAUGGGCUCGCGUGACAUUAGCUAGUUGGUAAGGUAACGGCUUACCAAGGCUACGAUGUCUAGGGGCUCUGAGAGGAGAAUCCCCCACACUGGUACUGAGACACGGACCAGACUCCUACGGGAGGCAGCAGUAAGGAAUAUUGGUCAAUGGACGGAAGUCUGAACCAGCCAUGCCGCGUGCAGGAAGACGGCCCUAUGGGUUGUAAACUGCUUUUAUACGGGAACAAACGUCGGUACGCGUACCGGUCUGAGUGUACCGUAAGAAUAAGGAUCGGCUAACUCCGUG
rnacentral:rRNA from 1 species